GUCCUAUUGUAUUAUUUAAUAGGUCUGGCCUGCCCAGUGAUAAUUUCAACGGCCGCGGUAUAUUGACCGUGCAAAGGUAGCAUAAUCAUUAGUCUUUUAAUAGGAGGCUGGAAUGAAAGGUUUAACGAGAAAUUGACUGUCUCAAUUGCAAUCUUGAAUUUAUCUUUUGAGUCAAAAGACUUAAAUAUAAUUGGUGGACGAGAAGACCCUAUAGAGCUUGACAAUUAUUUUUUUUAUAUUUACUUAGACUGAAAUUAUUUAUUUAUAUUAAAAAAAUUGUUUUGUUGGGGUGACAAUAAAUAUAUAUUUAACUUUUAUCAUAGUAUUAACAUUAAUUUAUGACUUUUGGAUCCAAAAAUUUUGAUCAUUACACUAACUUACC
rnacentral:rRNA from 1 species